UACUAGGUGGCCGAUUAAAGGUGUAAGUCUUUUAAACUUAUUAUAGAUAUUUCUUCUAGUAA
rnacentral:tRNA from 1 species